GAUUUCUGGUUCGGCGCACUUGGCCCGUCUCGGUUUACGGGCUUGUGUGCCGGUGUGCGCCAUCCAUCCUUCGAGAGAACACCCUUGUCCUUCACUGGCUCGAGGGUGCUAUCUCGAUCUUUUACUUUGAAAAAAUUAGAGUGUUUAAAGCAGGCUUGCGCUAUGAAUACAUUAGCAUGGAAUAAUAAUUUAGGACUUUGGUCUUAUUUUGUUGGUUUCUAGGACUAAAGUAAUGAUUGAUAGGGACAGUUGGGGGUGCUAGUAUUCAGCGGCCAGAGGUGAAAUUCUUGGAUUCGCUGAAGACUAACUUAUGCGAAAGCAUU
rnacentral:rRNA from 1 species